ensembl:lncRNA
UGGUUUUGCUGUAUGCUGCAGCAGCACUACAGAUCUUGAGGCAUUCAUGGCAAAGCCUAGAGCACCCUGAGAAAUGAGGAAAAAGCAGCACCAGCUGAGAUCAUACUGAAGAUAGAGACAAUCUGAGAGCACUAUGGAGGGAAUACUUUCUUUCAUGCUUGAUCUUCUGAAGAACUGAAGAUCUUGCUUGGAAUAAAGCUUCCUAACCUUUCCUUGAGAACGUGUGAAAGAUCCUCAUCACUUUGGUGAAAGCUGCCUCACUCACUCAUGCCCUCUGGAAGCCUCUGCCCUCCUGCAGCUGCUUCAGGACCCUGAAACUGCUUCUGCUGAGAUCCUGUUCCUUUCACUACGUCUUGGGGAUUACAAUUACCAGAUGUUCAUGGGAGGUGUUCUGAGAGUGGGAUGUGGCUCCUUUCUUUCAAGAUGUAUGCCAGUAAUAUUGAUGAGAAUCAAUACAUUUUUACUAAGAAGACUAAUGGACAUUUCUUCAGAGACAGCCAAGGACCUAAAUAAUGAGCGUCUUCAACGAAGCAUGUUUAUCUAUGCGUCCUUAAGUCGUAAAGGAAUAUCUAGCUUCCAAAUGCCAAUACUAAAAAAAACUAAAGAAGGAGUCCAGUGGAGGGCCACAAAGAUGAUGAAGGGACUGGAGCAUCUUCUUUACGAGGAAAGGCUGAGGCACCUGGGACACAUUGGCAUGGAGAAGAAAAGGCUGAGAUGUUGCAGUCUCUUUCUAUGGAGAUACUCAAGACUUGUCUGGAUGCCUACCUAUGCAACCUAUUGUGGGGUACCUGCUUUGGCAGAGGAGUUGGACUCCAUGAACUUUUGAGGUCCCUCCCAACCCCUGCAGUUCUGUAAUUCUGCAACAAUAAGAAACAGUCUCCUCCUGGAUGGCUGUUAAAUGAAUCUAAUAAUGAAAGUAACAAAAAAGGUUGUGCAGAAAAUGAGAUACUCAAGGAAAGUGCUAGUUAUGAACAUGAAUGGUCAUACACCACCACAGGAAGGAAAACGGAUGUUCCUGAGUGCUUUAUGCUUUCCUUGAAAGGAUUCCAUGCAUGCAUUUUGUGAUACAAAGAAUAGAUCCUGUUGUGCAUCUUUCUUAAAUAUGUAAGAGCCAAUUGAAAGGUUGAUGUUAUGAUGAUUGGCUAUAAAAAUCCUUUCAAAAAUGCUAUUGCUACAGUUUUAUACUCAGAUAAAAUGCCUGGCAGAACUCUUUAAUUUACAUUAGAGCUUUAAAAGACAAGGUAAAAAAUAAAAAGAGAACUUGUCAAGGCCUGGAAUUUUAAUUUUCUGGAAAAAAUCUGCCAUUGUGAACAUUUUUUUCAUCAAGAAAUUGAAGUCUGCAGCUGGUGAAAAUCUUAUGAAUAGAAUGCCUAUCAUAUCACCUCCUAAUUAAUUUAUUUUGAUAAUUUCAUGUGGUGUGGCAACUUUUAAUUUAUUAUUUUACAAUCCAUUUCCAAUACUUUGAUAUCUUUCUAAUUGGAAAACCAUAAUCCGUCCCAUUUGUUAAAAUAAAAGAAUGUACUGGUCUCAUGACACUAUGGAUUUUUAUUAUUAGAUAAUUGCCAAGAAAGUAAAAUGUUGUAUGUUAUUUGUAGCACUAUCAGUUCUUGUGAGUUGCCUUUUUUUUUUUUGUUGUUCUACAAUUGAAAUUUUUCAACCAUUUCUAAGUAUGAUAGUUAUUCACUUUUACUGAAGAUGAGAAAUUCAAAUAAUGUGGUGCUUUGUAUGCUGUGAAAAGGAACUGUAGGAACAAAGAAAUGAAAAAAAAAAUAGAAGUGAUAAUGAAAAUUACCAACUCUGUGCUUGAUUUUCUAGUACUGACUUGAGCAGAAGAUAUUUGCUCAUCUUCGCAGAUAUCACAGUGUGAUUUUUACAUUUGCCUUUGAAGUUCAGAAAAGUUUUUGUGACAGUUCUAUCUGAAAAAAAAAAAAAAAAAAGAGGACAUUUGAGAAUAGAAUUAUGUAAAAAAAAUAUCCCAAGAACAGCUUUUUGUUUUGAUUUCCUGUCUUUUUAUUCAAGGAGAGAAGUUAAAGUAAAUAUGUCAAAUCACAAAUUGCCCAUGCCCACACUCUCCGAAUAUUAUAUAUGAAAGUAAUUUGUGUUUGAAAUAUUUCCCAAUAUGGAAAAUAUUUUUUUUAUUUAGGUCCUACCUUUUAGCCGUCCUGAGAGUAGAUGGUUGUAGCCUACUGUACUGCCAGCCUGAUAUCUGAUAAUGCUACUAGAAAUAGGAUGUCCUAUAGCAGCAGUCAGUACAGAUACGAUCUGAAACAUCAGAUAGUAACAUAUCUGCCUUACCUGCUGACCCUGUACAUCAAGGCUCUACUUUCAAAUCCUUAAUUACUUUUGUCCAAUUAAAAUUUCUCUUUCUUUAACAAAAUAAAAGAUAAUAAAUAUUUUUGUCAUCUUAAUGUAUUUUCCUUGGUUACAUUUAAUGGGUUACAUGCAUUUAAUGGCUUGCAUGACAUUUUAUUUUGCAGCUCUUUGACUGCUUGCAUUGUUAUCCAUUUAAAUGCUUUUAAAAAGUCUGUUUGUUAACAAAUCAAAAUAAAUUAAGCUUUCAGUCU